rnacentral:rRNA from 1 species
UCAAAGGAAUUGACGGGGCCCGCACAAGCGGUGAGCAUGUGGUUAAUUCGAUGCAACGCGAAGAACCUUACCUGGGCUUGACAUCCCGAGAAUCCCCUGGAAACAGGGGAGUGCCUUUCGGGGAACUCGGAGACAGGUGCUGCAUGGCUGUCGUCAGCUCGUGUCGUGAGAUGUUGGGUUAAGUCCCGCAACGAGCGCAACCCUUGUCUUUAAUUGCCAGCAUUCAGUUGGGCACUUUAAAGAGACUGCCGGUGUUAAGCCGGAGGAAGGUGGGGAUGACGUCAAGUCCUCAUGGCCUUUAUGCCCAGGGCUACACACGUGCUACAAUGGCCGGUACAAAGGGCGGCGAGUCAGCGAUGACGAGCAAAUCCCGUAAAGCCGGUCUCAGUCCGGAUUGGAGUCUGCAACUCGGCUCCAUGAAGUUGGAAUCGCUAGUAAUCGUGGAUCAGAAUGCCACGGUGAAUACGUUCCCGGGCCUU